GAAAAAGCUUCACUGGAACCUAAAGCAGUCACUUGAGUUCAUCUCCCCUGGAGAAGGCUGUAAAGCCAGCACGGCGUACCCAGAGAUACGGAAAACGACUGGCCCGAUUUGGGUGCCAGGCUGUUUGUUUGUUUACAGAUGGAGAAAUGUUUCCGACAUCUGUCUGCAGCGUUCUCCCAGCAGCUACCUCAUGUUUCUUGCAACUUCCCAGCCUUGCCCACGGCCUGUUCUUGGAAGGGCACCAUCCCCGUGGUGGAGGGACUGCUGGAGAGAGCAGUGAGAACUUGGAGG
rnacentral:lncRNA from 1 species